rnacentral:rRNA from 1 species
GAUCCUGGCUCAGGACGAACGCUGGCGGCGUGCUUAACACAUGCAAGUCGAACGAGAAUCUACUGAAAGAGUUUUUCGGACAAUUGGAAGUAGAGGAAAGUGGCGGACGGGUGAGUAACGCGUGAGGAACCUGCCUUGAAGAGGGGGGACAACAGUUGGAAACGACUGCUAAUACCGCAUGAAGCAUAGGGGUCGCAUGAUUCUUAUGCCAAAGAUUUAUCGCUUCAAGAUGGCCUCGCGU